rnacentral:rRNA from 1 species
CCCGGGUUGCGGACAGUGUCUGGUGGGUAGUUUGACUGGGGCGGUCUCCUCCUAAAGAGUAACGGAGGAGCACGAAGGUUGGCUAAUCCUGGUCGGACAUCAGGAGGUUAGUGCAAUGGCAUAAGCCAGCUUGACUGCGAGCGUGACGGCGCGAGCAGGUGCGAAAGCAGGUCAUAGUGAUCCGGUGGUUCUGAAUGGAAGGGCCAUCGCUCAACGGAUAAAAGGUACUCCGGGGAUAACAGGCUGAUACCGCCCAAGAGUUCAUAUCGACGGCGGUGUUUGGCACCUCGAUGUCGGCUCAUCACAUCCUGGGGCUGAAGUAGGUCCCAAGGGUAUGGCUGUUCGCCAUUUAAAGUGGUACGCGAGCUGGGUUUAGAACGUCGUGAGACAGUUCGGUCCCUAUCUGCCGUGGGCGCUGGAGAACUGAGGGGGGCUGCUCCUAGUACGAGAGGACCGGAGUGGACGCAUCACUGGUGUUCGGGUUGUCAUGCCAAUGGCACUGCCCGGUAGCUAAAUGCGGAAGAGAUAAGUGCUGAAAGCAUCUAAGCACGAAACUUGCCCCGA